rnacentral:lncRNA from 1 species
GCCCCAGCCUAUCCCAUCACAGUGAGGGGUGGGGCAUGACCUGGAGCCGCAGUUGGCAACGGGAGUGGCUUUAGCACCCCGACCACCCUAACAUCUUGCACUGUCUGGGGGCUCCCCGGGCUCAGCAACACCCACCUCUGUGGCUGGGAGCUGGGCUCAGCCACAUCCCUGCAACUUCUCCGGGACACCGCCAUCCAGCUACGCCAAGGCCUGACGGCGGCUCCAUGUUUCCUGCCAAUGGCGGUGCUAUUAAUUUCUGCAUCUGAAAGGUGAGGGUGCAUGGGAUGGAAGAGGAUCUAGCGGGUGGACGUGAUCACAGCAGCUGCAUCUGGAAGGCGAGGGUGCAUGGGAUGGAAGCAGAUCUGGUGGGUGGAGGUGAGGACUACUGCAGCUGCAUCUGGAAGGUCAAACGCUCAGAGCCAUAUGUGGCUCGAGGCUGCCAUGUUGCACAGUGCAAAUCCACAGAGCGUUUCAUCCAAUGGUAUUGCCCUUGAAGGUGGGCAUUCCACAGCCCGCGGCCCUGACGAGGGAAAUGCACAGAGCCUCCUCCUGACCCGCAGCGCACAUGUGAGGAUUCCAAAUAAAGUUGCAGACUCCAUGUUCUUAGGGGAAGAGAGCGUAACUCCCGCUGCUUAAGUGAAGCCCAUGCAUAGUGACUUUGCUCCAGUGAGUCUGGAAAGCGGGACAAGGGAGUAACUUUCCUGUGGAGAAACCUGGCAGAGGCCACGACCGCCAGAUCAUCAGAAAAACCCCAACUGAGAGAAAUUCUACAGCAUGCCUGACCAUUACUCUUCAAAACUAUCCCAGUCAUCGAAAACAAGGAAAAUCUGAGAAACUGCCAGCAGAGGGGGGUCCAGGGAGAUGUGACAGCUGCAUGCACAGCGGCGUCCCGGAUGGGGUCCUGGAACAGAAAGAUAACAUCAGGCCACCAGAGCUGGCAUGGAGCCCAGUGGGAAGGUGGCAUUUCUGCUCAGCAAGCAACUAAGAGAAGCCUGCCCUUGGCAACAGAAAGUUCUAACGAGGACCCAGGUUUUUAGACAGCUAGAGUCUCCGUGUUUCUUCUGAUUGUGGUAGGA